GCGAACGCUGGCGGCAGGCCUAACACAUGCACGUCGAACGGAUCCUUCGGGAUUAGUGGCGGACGGGUGAGUAACACGUGGGAACGUGCCCUUUGGUUCGGAACAACUCAGGGAAACUUGAGCUAAUACCGGAUGUGCCCUUCGGGGGAAAGAUUUAUCGCCAUUGGAGCGGCCCGCGUCUGAUUAGCUAGUUGGUGAGGUAACGGCCCACCAAGGCGACGAUCAGUAGCUGGUCUGAGAGGAUGAUCAGCCACACUGGGACUGAGACACGGCCCAGACUCCUACGGGAGGCAGCAGUGGGGAAUCUUGCGCAAUGGGCGAAAGCCUGACGCAGCCAUGCCGCGUGAAUGAUGAAGGUCUUAGGAUUGUAAAAUUCUUUCAGCGGGGACGAUAAUGACGGUACCCGCAGAAGAAGCUCCGGCUAACUUCGUG
rnacentral:rRNA from 1 species